rnacentral:rRNA from 1 species
CCUACGGGAGGCUGCAGUGGGGAAUAUUGCACAAUGGGCGCAAGCCUGAUGCAGCCAUGCCGCGUGUGUGAAGAAGGCCUUCGGGUUGUAAAGCACUUUCAGCGGGGAGGAAGGCGUUAAGGUUAAUAACCUUGGCGAUUGACGUUACCCGCAGAAGAAGCACCGGCUAACUCCGUGCCAGCAGCCGCGGUAAUACGGAGGGUGCAAGCGUUAAUCGGAAUUACUGGGCGUAAAGCGCACGCAGGCGGUCUGUCAAGUCGGAUGUGAAAUCCCCGGGCUCAACCUGGGAACUGCAUUCGAAACUGGCAGCCUAGAGUCUUGUGGAGGGGGGUAGAAUUCCAGGUGUAGCGGUGAAAUGCGUAGAGAUCUGGAGGAAUACCGGUGGCGAAGGCGGCCCCCUGGACAAAGACUGACGCUCAGGUGCGAAAGCGUGGGGAGCAAACAGGAUUAGAUACCCUAGAGUC